UCCAGCAGCAACACCACCAGAGUCAUCACCCGCAUCGGUCCGACCCGCCGUCCCGGGCCCCGACGACCGCCGGCACGCCCUCCCUGUCCUCCGGCUGUACCACCCUGCGCAGGGACGUGCCCCCGAGCCCCGGCCCGGCCCGGCGCGCGGCGCCGGCGGCCGCCGGGCUGGCCCGCAAGAGCCUGUCGUUCUCCAGCCAGGACCUGGCCAGGUACCUGUGCGAGAUCAUCCGGGACGCGGAGCGGCACGCGGACUCGGCGCCCCCCGACUCGCUGCAGGUGUUCUCCACCGAGGGCGGGGGCACCCCCGCCGGCUCGCUGAGCUCCUUCAGCUCGGCCGGCCUGGACGAGAGCGGCGCGGCCGGACACGAGUGCGCGAAGGACUGGGGGCCGAGGUUCGACGAGAUCCGGGCGCUCUACGAGAGGGCCGAGGCCGGCGACCUCUGAAGGACAUCUCGCGUCGGGGACGGACCCGGAGGCGAAGGGACACAGGGGCCGGCGUCCCCGGGACCCUCGACGAGCCGCGAAGGGGAGACGCCGAGGUCCGAGGCGGCGUCUCUUAUUCCGCGGCCUUCCCCGGCCGGUCUUUCUGAACGUUUUUCCCGGACGGGAGGGGUCGAACGAGCGCGAGGGGGGAAAGCGAGAGCGCGGUGCGUCUACGGCACCGAGGGACGACUUUCGGACGCUUCGGCGGGAAUACGAACGGCGCCCUUCUCUUUUCGAAGUUCGAAAGACUAGUGGGACGCGUCCGGGCCACGCCUCGGCGGUCGCGUCCCGUGCGAUCGAAUGUUUUUUAUGAAGGUGCGAGAGAUCUCGGUGCCGGGCAGCCCCUCCGCGCAGAGGGUCGCGUCACGUCGGCGGGGUUCCGGCCCGUCCGGCCGGAGUCGAGAGAUCAGGCCGCCAAGGCGGCGGCACGCGCGGGCGGCCCCGAACUGUUCGCGUUCGAAGCGCGCUCCCCCUGUCGUCCCGCCUCUCCGUCGGACGCCCGUCGCGGUGCCGGGGAAUCCGAAGAGCCUCUCGUCAAGGAUCUCAAAAGUGCCAAUUUUUUUCUAACACUGCUCGAACCUAAAAGGUCAGAAACGGCGCCGCUAGCGCAGGGCUUCGUAUUCGGUACACAGAAUCCACCGGGACCGCAGUUCGGAUUCGUCGAUCGUGAACCCACGCAGAGCGUCGGGGGUGCGCGACGGGUACCCGAUCCCGCGUACCGUGAAGUGUCUUUACCUCGUCUGUACAUAGACGGACGUGACCGCUUUGAGAAGAAGUACGAAGAUCCCUUCCGAGAAACAUCAAGACAGUCGAGGGGGCCGUCGCCGUUCACGUGCGCUCGUGUCGGAUUUCUUCACGGAUCGCGGCGAGAAUCGUUUCGGACGGUGGGCAAAAAAAAACAAAUAUAAAUAUAUAUAUAUAAAUCUAAAUAUAGCUGUUUUGCACUUGCAUCGUUUUACUAUGCUCUGUUCCUUUGUAAACAAAUAAAGUUAUUUACGACUAUCGUGUGGCGUGUAUCGGUGCUAAUCCGUCCGGCCCGGGAUCGGUCGUAUCGGUUCUCGCGCCUCGACGCGGUACCGUAACGUCGACGAGCGACUCCGCGAUACAGUCUCGGAGGAGAAAGAGAAGAGACGGAAGGGAACGGAUGGAAGCGAAGAAGAAAAAUCACCAUAAAAAGGAGCUACCGCCGAGGGCCAUCGGCAGCAGUAGCGGCAGCAGCACGGGAAAACAACAUGGGAAAAGCCGGAGAAAACGAACGGGUCCGACCGACACACUCUGGACCGAGCCUCGAGACACGCCGUAGACGAGGUAGGA